CGCGUGUGUGAAGAAGGCUUUCGGGUUGUAAAGCACUUUCAGUGGGGAAGAAGGCUUGUCGGCCAAUACCCGGCAAGAGCGACAUCACCCACAGAAGAAGCACCGGCUAACUCCGUGCCAGCAGCCGCGGUAAUACGGAGGGUGCAAGCGUUAAUCGGAAUUACUGGGCGUAAAGCGCGCGUAGGCGGCUUGUCACGCCGGGUGUGAAAGCCCCGGGCUCAACCUGGGAACGGCAUCCGGAACGGGCAGGCUAGAGUGCAGGAGAGGAAGGUAGAAUUCCCGGUGUAGCGGUGAAAUGCGUAGAGAUCGGGAGGAAUACCAGUGGCGAAGGCGGCCUUCUGGACUGACACUGACGCUGAGGUGCGAAAGCGUGGGUAGCAAACAGGAUUAGAUACCCUGGUAGUCCACGCCGUAAACGAUGUCGACUAGCCGUUGGGUCCCUUGAGGACUUAGUGGCGCAGUUAACGCGAUAAGUCGACCGCCUGGGGAGUACGGCCGCAAGGUUAAAACUCAAAUGAAUUGACGGGGGCCCGCACAAGCGGUGGAGCAUGUGGUUUAAUUCGAUGCAACGCGAAGAACCUUACCUACCCUUGACAUCCUGCGAACCCGGAAGAGAUUCCGGGGUGCCUUCGGGAGCGCAGAGACAGGUGCUGCAUGGCUGUCGUCAGCUCGUGUUGUGAAAUGUUGGGUUAAGUCCCGUAACGAGCGCAACCCUUGUCCCUAUUUGCCA
rnacentral:rRNA from 1 species